GCCCGAUUAGCUCAGCUGGUUGGAGCGUCGUACUAAUAGAACCAUGGUUCUAUCAUGUUCAUGCGAAGGUCAACAGUUUAAUACUGUUAUUGGGCA